rnacentral:misc_RNA from 1 species
GAUGAAGAACGUAGCGAAAUGCGUUAAGUAGUGUGAAUUGCAGAAUUCAGUGAAUCAUCGAAUCUUUGAACGCACAUUGCGCCCCUUGGUAUUCCAUGGGGCAUGCCUGUUCGAGCGUCAUUUGUACCUUCAAGCUCUGCUUGGUGUUGGGUGUUUGUCUCGCCUCUGCGCGUAGACUCGCCUCAAAACAAUUGGCAGCCGGCGUAUUGAUUUCGGAGCGCAGUACAUCUCGCGCCUUGCACUCAUAACGACGACGUCCAAAAGUACAUUUUUACACUCUUGACCUCGGAUCAGGUAGGGAUACCCGCUGAACUUAAGCAUAUCAAUAAGCGGAGGA